rnacentral:rRNA from 1 species
AUUGAACGCUGGCGGCAGGCCUAACACAUGCAAGUCGAACGAGUGGCGGACGGGUGAGUAAUGUCUGGGAAACUGCCUGAUGGAGGGGGAUAACUACUGGAAACGGUAGCUAAUACCGCAUACCAUCAGAUGGGCCCAGAUGGGAUUAGCUAGUGGGUGGGGUAACGGCUCAACUAGGCGACGAGCCCUAGCUGGUCUGAGAGGAUGACCAGCCACACUGGAAUGGAGCAACGGUCCAGACUCCUACGGGCGGCAGCAGUGGGGAAUAUUGCAAAAUGGCCGCAAGCCUGAUGCACACAGGCCGCGUGUAUGAAGAAGGCCUUCGGGUUGUAAAGUACUUUCAGCGGGGAGGCGUUACCCGAAGAAGAAGCACCGGCUAACUCCGUGCCAGCAGCCGCGGUAAUUC